rnacentral:rRNA from 1 species
AGUGAACGCUGGCGGUAGGCCUAACACAUGCAAGUCGAACGGCAGCACAGGAGAGCUUGCCCUCUGGGUGGCGAGUGGCGGACGGGUGAGGAAUACAUCGGAAUCUACCUUUUCGUGGGGGAUAACGUAGGGAAACUUACGCUGAUACCGCAUACGACCUACGGGUGAAAGUGGGGGACCGCAAGGCCUCACGCGAUUAGAUGAGCCGAUGUCCGAUUAGCUAGUUGGCGGGGUAAUGGCCCACCAAGGCGACGAUCGGUAGCUGGUCUGAGAGGAUGAUCAGCCACCCUGGAACUGAGACACGGUCCAGACUCCUACGGGAGGCAGCAGUGGGGAAUAUUGGACAAUGGGCGCAAGCCUGAUCCAGCCAUACCGCGUGGGUGAAGAAGGCCUUCGGGUUGUAAAGCCCUUUUGUUGGGAAAGAAAUCCUGUCGAUUAAUACUCGGUGGGGAUGACGGUACCCAAAGAAUAAGCACCGGCUAACUUCGUGCCAGCAGCCGCCGUAACAC